GAUGAACGCUGGCGGCGUGCCUAAUACAUGCAAGUCGAGCGAACAGAUGAGGAGCUUGCUCCUCUGACGUUAGCGGCGGACGGGUGAGUAACACGUGGAUAACCUACCUAUAAGACUGGGAUAACUUCGGGAAACCGGAGCUAAUACCGGAUAAUAUAUUGAACCGCAUGGUUCAAUAGUGAAAGACGGUUUUGCUGUCACUUAUAGAUGGAUCCGCGCCGCAUUAGCUAGUUGGUAAGGUAACGGCUUACCAAGGCAACGAUGCGUAGCCGACCUGAGAGGGUGAUCGGCCACACUGGAACUGAGACACGGUCCAGACUCCUACGGGAGGCAGCAGUAGGGAAUCUUCCGCAAUGGGCGAAAGCCUGACGCAGCAACGCCGCGUGAGUGAUGAAGGUCUUCGGAUCGUAAAACUCUGUUAUUAGGGAAGAACAAAUGUGUAAGUAACUAUGCACGUCUUGACGGUACCUAAUCAGAAAGCCACGGCUAACUACGUG
rnacentral:rRNA from 1 species